AGGUACUAAUUCAUAGGAUCGUGC
rnacentral:siRNA from 1 species